GGCGGACGGGUGAGUAACACGUGAGAAUUUACCUUUAGGAGGGGGAUAACAAUUGGAAACGAUUGCUAAUACCCCAUAUGCUUUUGAGUGAGAUGGAUUUAUAUUUAUCCGCCUAGAGAGAAGCUCGCGGCUGAUUAGCUUGUUGGUAAGGUAAGAGCUUACCAAGGCGACGAUCAGUAUCUGGUUUGAGAGGACGAUCAGACACACUGGAACUGAGACACGGUCCAG
rnacentral:rRNA from 1 species